rfam:Ictidomys tridecemlineatus contig090671, whole genome shotgun sequence.
AGGGAUAUAGCUCAGUUGGUUGAGUGCUUACCUCGAAUGCACAAGGACCUGGGUUCGAUCCCCAGUACCACCA